rnacentral:rRNA from 1 species
UAGGGAAUCUUCGGCAAUGGGGGGAACCCUGACCGAGCAACGCCGCGUGAGUGAAGAAGGUUUUCGGAUCGUAAAGCCCUGUUGUUAAGGAAGAACGAGUGUGAGAAUGGAAAGUUCAUGCUGUGACGGUACUUAACCAGAAAGGGACGGCUAACUACGUGCCAGCAGCCGCGGUAAUACGUAGGUCCCGAGCGUUGUCCGGAUUUAUUGGGCGUAAAGCGAGCGCAGGCGGUUAGAAAAGUCUGAAGUGAAAGGCAGUGGCUCAACCAUUGUAGGCUUUGGAAACUGUUUAACUUGAGUGCGGAAGGGGAGAGUGGAAUUCCUUGUGUAGCGGUGAAAUGCGUGGAUAUAUGGAGGAACACCGGUUGGGAAAGCGACUCUCUGGUAUGUAACUGACGCUGAGGCUCGAAAGCGUGGGUAGCAAACAGG